rnacentral:rRNA from 1 species
GGCAAGGUGAUAUGAACCGUUAUACCCGACGAUACCCGAAUGGGGAAACCCAGUGCAAUCCGUUGCACUAUCAUGUCAUGAAUACAUAGUGGCAUGAGGCGAACCGGGGGAACUGAAACAUCUCAGUACCCCGAGGAAAAGAAAUCAACCGAGAUUCCCCCAGUAGCGGCGAGCGAACGGGGAGGAGCCCAGAACCUGAAUCAGUUUGAGUCUUAGUGGAAGCGUCUGGAAAGUCGCACGACAGAGGGUGAUAGUCCCGUACACGAAGAGGCAUGAGCUGUGAGUUCGACGAGUAGGGCGGGACACGUGUUAUCCUGUCUGAAUAUGGGGGGACCAUCCUCCAAGGCUAAAUACUCCUGACUGACCGAUAGUGAACCAGUACCGUGAGGGAAAGGCGAAAAGAACCCCGGCGAGGGGAGUGAAAUAGAACCUGAAACCGUGUACGUACAAGCAGUGGGAGCAUCCUUCGGGGUGUGACUGCGUACCUUUUGUAUAAUGGGUCAGCGACUUAUAUUCUGUAGCAAGGUUAACCGCAUAGGGGAGCCGCAGGGAAACCGAGUCUUAACUGGGCGUUAAGUUGCAGGGUAUAGACCCGAAACCCGGUGAUCUAGCCAUGGGCAGGUUGAAGGUUGGGUAACACUAACUGGAGGACCGAACCGACUAAUGUUGAAAAAUUAGCGGAUGACUUGUGGCUGGGGGUGAAAGGCCAAUCAAACCGGGAGAUAGCUGGUUCUCCCCGAAAGCUAUUUAGGUAGCGCCUCGUGAAGUCAUCUUCGGGGGUA